AGUAAUAAGAAUAUUUUAUUAAAAAUCAUCUAGGUAGUCGGAGGUAAUCUUAGUGACCUCGUGGCUCACAAUCAAUCUGAAAUCUAAUUUUUCAUUAGCUGGAACAUUAAUCUUAUCAUACAUUAAAUAUUAUGUAACAAUUUUAUGCAAUUAUUAAAGUCAUUUGAGAAAUUAUUUUCAAUAAUCAUUUUGCUCUGAGUGUAAUUUCAAUCUUAAAUUACCAAACACGAGCUUUUCAUCUUGUAAUGAGGAAAUGAGAGAUGCUGCUGAAUUCAUCAAAAAGUGUUUACCACCAGUUUAGAAGAAGAGAAGAUAUCAAUUAUUAUUUCCAUGAAAAUCUAACCCUUUUUGGAUUAAAAUUCAUGAUGGAACUGAAAAACUGAGAAACGAAUAAUAUUCAACUAAUUGUUCCAUCAUCAGUUUUCAGUAUUCUAUCAUCAACUUCUCCAUUAUCAACAUAAUCAAUGUUUCUUUUACCCGAUUCUACACAAACGUUUCCCCACCUAUUGAAUGUUUAUCAAUCAAAAUUGAGAACAAAAAAUAAGAGUUAAUUGCUGGUCUUUUCUGUUGAAACAAUAAUAUAAAAAUCUUAACUGCUCACUAAAUCUUCACGUUAAUCAUCACAAUCACGAUCUAAAUGUUUAUCUUAUAUAACCCAAAUUGACCGAUUCCUGGAAACACUGAUUAGUAUUCAGACUUGAGAAAAUAAUUACAAGAGGAUAAUCAAAUCAUAGAAACAAAUUUUCCUUUUUGUUCCAACCAAUCUUACUAAACAUAAUUUUCCACUGUCACUACAAUCAAAUCAGAUUAUAAUCAAUAAUCAAAGGUUGAUAAAAAAAUCCCAUUAAUUGUAAAAUCCAAUUGUAACCAAGUCUUCACUCUUAAAAGAUAUUAUCUUCUUCCUCCUUAUGAUAAACAAAAUGAAAAUAAUCAAAUAUUUUUGGUCUUGUUAAACAUAUCAAAUAAUAUAAUAUAUUAUACACAAUACAAA